CCACUUCACUGUAGCACAGACCUCCACCAUCAUGAAGUGAAUGACCCACCUCCCUGCAGCACUGACCUCCACCAUCAUGAAGUGAAUGACCCACCUCCCUGCAGCACUGACCUCCACCAUCAUGAAGUGAAUGACCCACCUCCCUGCAGCACUGACCUCCACCAUCAUGAAGUGAAUGACCCACCUCCCUGCAGCACUGACCUCCACCAUCAUGAAGUGAAUGACCCACCUCCCUGCAGCACUGACCUCCACCAUCAUGAAGUGAAUGACCCACCUCCCUGCAGCACUGACCUCCACCAUCAUGAAGUGAAUGACCCACCUCACUGUAGCACUGACCUCCACCAUCAUGAAGUGAAUGACCCACAUCACUGUAGCACUGACCUCCACCAUCAUGAAGUGAAUGACCCACCUCACUGUAGCCCUGACCUCCACCAUCAUGAAGUGAAUGACCCACCUCCCUGUAGCACUGACCUCCACCAUCAUGAAGUGAAUGACCCACCUCACUGUAGCCCUGACCUCCACCAUCAUGAAGUGAAUGACCCACCUCACUGUAGCCCUGACCUCCACCAUCAUGAAGUGAAUGACCCACUUCACUGUAGCCCUGACCUCCACCAUCAUGAAGUGAAUGACCCACCUCACUGUAGCCCUGACCUCCACCAUCAUGAAGUGAAUGACCCACUUCACUGUAGCCCUGACCUCCACCAUCAUGAAGUGAAUGACCCACCUCCCUGCAGCACUGACCUCCACCAUCAUGAAGUGAAUGACCCACCUCACUGUAGCACAGACCUCCACCAUCAUGAAGUGAAUGACCCACCUCCCUGCAGCACUGACCUCCACCAUCAUGAAGUGAAUGACCCACCUCACUGUAGCACAGACCACCACCAUCAUGAAGUGAAUGACCCACCUCCCUGUAGCACAGACCUCCACCAUCAUGAAGUGAAUGACCCACCUCCCUGUAGCACAGACCUCCACCAUCAUGAAGUGAAUGACCCACCUCCCUGUAGCCCUGACCUCCACCAUCAUGAAGUGAAUGACCCACCUCACUGUAGCCCUGACCUCCACCAUCAUGAAGUGAAUGACCCACCUCACUGUAGCCCUGACCUCCACCAUCAUGAAGUGAAUGACCCACCUCCCUGCAGCACUGACCUCCACCAUCAUGAAGUGAAUGACCCACCUCCCUGCAGCACAGACCUCCACCAUCAUGAAGUGAAUGACCCACCUCCCGGUAGCACAGACCUCCACCAUCAUGAAGUGAAUGACCCACCUCCCUGCAGCACUGACCUCCACCAUCAUGAAGUGAAUGACCCACCUCCCUGCAGCACAGACCUCCACCAUCAUGAAGUGAAUGACCCACCUCCCUGUAGCCCUGACCUCCACCAUCAUGAAGUGAAUGACCCACCUCACUGUAGCCCUGACCUCCACCAUCAUGAAGUGAAUGACCCACCUCCCUGCAGCCCUGACCUCCACCAUCAUGAAGUGAAUGACCCACCUCCCUGCAGCACUGACCUCCACCAUCAUGAAGUGAAUGACCCACCUCCCUGCAGCACAGACCUCCGCCAUCAUGAAGUGAAUGACCCACCUCCCUGCAGCACUGACCUCCACCAUCAUGAAGUGAAUGACCCACCUCCCUGUAGCACAGACCUCCACCAUCAUGAAGUGAAUGACCCACCUCACUGUAGCCCUGACCUCCACCAUCAUGAAGUGAAUGACCCACCUCACUGUAGCCCUGACCUCCACCAUCAUGAAGUGAAUGACCCACCUCACUGUAGCCCUGACCUCCACCAUCAUGAAGUGAAUGACCCACCUCACUGUAGCCCUGACCUCCACCAUCAUGAAGUGAAUGACCCACCUCCCUGCAGCCCUGACCUCCACCAUCAUGAAGUGAAUGACCCACCUCCCUGCAGCACUGACCUCCACCAUCAUGAAGUGAAUGACCCACCUCCCUGCAGCACUGACCUCCACCAUCAUGAAGUGAAUGACCCACCUCACUGUAGCACAGACCACCACCAUCAUGAAGUGAAUGACCCACCUCCCUAUAGCCCUGACCUCCACCAUCAUGAAGUGAAUGACCCACCUCACUGUAGCCCUGACCUCCACCAUCAUGAAGUGAAUGACCCACCUCCCUGCAGCCCUGACCUCCACCAUCAUGAAGUGAAUGACCCACCUCACUGUAGCCCUGACCUCCACCAUCAUGAAGUGAAUGACCCACCUCCCUGCAGCACUGACCUCCACCAUCAUGAAGUGAAUGACCCACCUCCCUGCAGCACUGACCUCCACCAUCAUGAAGUGAAUGACCCACCUCCCUGCAGCACUGACCUCCACCAUCAUGAAGUGAAUGACCCACGUCACUGUAGCACAGACCACCACCAUCAUGAAGUGAAUGACCCACCUCCCUGUAGCCCUGACCUCCACCAUCAUGAAGUGAAUGACCCACCUCCCUGCAGCACUGACCUCCACCAUCAUGAAGUGAAUGACCCACCUCCCUGUAGCCCUGACCUCCACCAUCAUGAAGUGAAUGACCCACCUCCCUGUAGCCCUGACCUCCACCAUCAUGAAGUGAAUGACCCACCUCCCUGCAGCACAGACCACCACCAUCAUGAAGUGAAUGACCCACCUCCCUGUAGCCCUGACCUCCACCAUCAUGAAGUGAAUGACCCACCUCACUGUAGCACUGACCUCCACCAUCAUGAAGUGAAUGACCCACCUCCCUGCAGCACUGACCUCCACCAUCAUGUCAGAACUCACAUCUGCUCCACCCUUCCUGACACUUCGGACCCCUUUCAAUUUGAUAUCGCCCCAAAAAAUGGUACUCAUCGAAGUACGCAUCCGUACUUUGGAUCCUGGACUUUCUGA
rnacentral:lncRNA from 1 species